rnacentral:rRNA from 1 species
UACGUAGGGUGCGAGCGUUGUCCGGAAUUAUUGGGCGUAAAGAGCUCGUAGGCGGUUUGUCUCGUCGACUGUGAAAACCUACAGCUUAACUGUGGGCUUGCAGUCGAUACGGGCAGACUUGAGUUCGGUAGGGGAGACUGGAAUUCCUGGUGUAGCGGUGAAAUGCGCAGAUAUCAGGAGGAACACCGGUGGCGAAGGCGGGUCCCUGGGCCGAUACUGACGCUGAGGAGCGAAAGCGUGGGGAGCGAACAGG